rnacentral:rRNA from 1 species
GACGAACGCUGGCGGCGUGCUUAACACAUGCAAGUCGAACGGAAAGGCCCUGCUUUUGUGGGGUGCUCGAGUGGCGAACGGGUGAGUAACACGUGAGUAACCUGCCCUUGACUUUGGGAUAACUUCAGGAAACUGGGGCUAAUACCGGAUAGGAGCUCCUGCUGCAUGGUGGGGGUUGGAAAGUUUCGGCGGUUGGGGAUGGACUCGCGGCUUAUCAGCUUGUUGGUGGGGUAGUGGCUUACCAAGGCUUUGACGGGUAGCCGGCCUGAGAGGGUGACCGGCCACAUUGGGACUGAGAUACGGCCCAGACUCCUACGGGAGGCAGCAGUGGGGAAUAUUGCACAAUGGGCGGAAGCCUGAUGCAGCAACGCCGCGUGCGGGAUGACGGCCUUCGGGUUGUAAGCCGCUUUCGCCUGUGACGAAGCGUGAGUGACGGUAAUGGGUAAAGAAGCACCGGCUAACUACGUGCCAGCAGCCGCGGUGAUACGUAGGGUGCGAGCGUCGUCCGGAUUUAUUGGGCGUAAAGGGCUCGUAGGUGGUUGAUCGCGUCGGAAGUGUAAUCUUGGGGCUUAACCCUGAGCGUGCUUUCGAUACGGGUUGACUUGAGGAAGGUAGGGGAGAAUGGAAUUCCUGGUGGAGCGGUGGAAUGCGCAGAUAUCAGGAGGAACACCAGUGGCGAAGGCGGUUCUCUGGGCCUUUCCUGACGCUGAGGAGCGAAAGCGUGGGGAGCGAACAGGCUUAGAUACCCUGGUAGUCCGCGCUGUAAACGGUGGGUACUAGGUGUGGGGUCCAUUCCACGGGUUCCGUGCCGUAGCUAACGCUUUAAGUACCCCGCCUGGGGAGUACGGCCGCAAGGCUAAAACUCAAAGGAAUUGACGGGGCCCCGCACAAGCGGCGGAGCAUGCGGAUUAAUUCGAUGCAACGCGUAGAACCUUACCUGGGUUUGACAUGGAUCGGGAGCGCUCAGAGAUGGGUGUGCCUCUUUUGGGGUCGGUUCACAGGUGGUGCAUGGCUGUCGUCAGCUCGUGUCGUGAGAUGUUGGGUUAAGUCCCGCAACGAGCGCAACCCUUGUUCACUGUUGCCAGCACGUUAUGGUGGGGACUCAGUGGAGACCGCCGGGGUCAACUCGGAGGAAGGUGGGGAUGACGUCAAGUCAUCAUGCCCCUUAUGUCCAGGGCUUCACGCAUGCUACAAUGGCUGGUACAGAGAGUGGCGAGCCUGUGAGGGUGAGCGAAUCUCGGAAAGCCGGUCUCAGUUCGGAUUGGGGUCUGCAACUCGACCUCAUGAAGUCGGAGUCGCUAGUAAUCGCAGAUCAGCAACGCUGCGGUGAAUACGUUCCCGGG